UAUCCACUCGACCCACUCCUCCUCUCCGCAGCCGGCAUCCCCUUCUCCUCCAUCGACAGCGUCCCUGGCGACCCACUCCUCCAUCGACGGUGACGGCGACGGCCUCCUAAGAUCCACAAGAUCAAGAGGAGGCCUGCACCCUCUGCGUCCACGACACCCUCUGCAGUUGCCAUCCCCCCAGAGAAGUGAGAUGGCUGGCUUGGAAGGUUUCAAGUUCUUCGAGAUUGUAAUUGAGAAAUCUUGCAGUA